rnacentral:rRNA from 1 species
UACGUAGGGUGCAAGCGUUGUCCGGAAUUAUUGGGCGUAAAGAGCUCGUAGGCGGUCUGUCGCGUCGGCUGUGAAAUCCCGAGGCUCAACCUCGGGACUGCAGUCGAUACGGGCAAACUUGAGUGUUGCAGGGGAGACUGGAAUUCCUGGUGUAGCGGUGAAAUGCGCAGAUAUCAGGAGGAACACCGGUGGCGAAGGCGGGUCUCUGGGCAGCAACUGACGCUGAGGAGCGAAAGCGUGGGGAGCGAACAGG